GUGUGGAAUGUUUUCUUGCCACACUUUGAGCCCGUUAAUACCAAUCCAUCAUCGCUUGAAUGCCACAGUCUAUUUGAGUAUUGUUGCUGACCAUGUGCAUCCCUUCAUGGCCACAAUUUACCAUUUUCUAAUGGCUUAUUAUUCCAGUAUGAUAAUGCACCAUGUCACAAAGCAAAAGUCGUCUCAAACUGGUUUCAUGAACAUGACAGCGACUUGAGUGUUCUUCUCCAGUGGCCUUCCUAGCCACCGGGUCUGAAUCCAAUAGACUUACUGGAUUGAAAGUGCACCAGAAAAAUCUGUGCGAUCAUCUCAACAUGGACCAGAAUCUCAAAGGAACAUCUCCAAAAUCUUGUGGAAUCCAUGCUAUGAAGAAUUGAGGCUGUUUGGAGAGCAAAGGGACUGAGAGCCCUACCCAGUGUUAGUGUAGUGUUCCUAAUAAAGUUCUCACUGAGUGUACACCAUAAGGGAACAGCUGUUGUGGCUCAUGAUGUCAUCUGUAUACUUUUGCAUAUGUAAAUUUAUAAAUGAUAAAACCGCAGUGCUGACAGGAGUGCUGUAAGAUCUGUCGGUCUGGAGAUCAGCUAAUUAACGUCUUCAGCUCCUCUUUUAUUGGCAAAUGUAAGCAAAUCAGUGAGGCUGCGUAACCUCCCCUGAUUUGCGAUUGUGUUUAGGAAAGAGAGGAGAAGAGAAGUGUGUGGAAAGUUAUUGUCAGGAUUGUGAGUUCUGUGUGCAGGUAUGCUGGAUAUGAGGGUCAGUCCAGUCAGAGCUACAGCCAGCCGGGUUACGGAGGAUACGGCCCGGGUUCGGAGUCGGACAGCAGCCCGGACCUUACGGUCAGGGAUACGGCUCCAGCUACAGCUCGGUUUUCGAACGUAGUUGUCGAUGAGGUGACAGUGAGAGGGCGAUGUCACAGGAAAAUGUCCCUGAGGAAAAAUGAGGAGGCUCAUCACCUUCAGUGAUCAGGUUACACUCGAUUCUCAAGAGUUUCCCGUGGUACUGAAGUGCAUGUCAUGUUCCUUCUCGGCUGGGAAAGCACUACACAAUCAGAUAGUGGCAUUUCUGUUUCAAACUUCUCACUACAGUACCGUGGGCUUCAGGACGGUGCCAUUGCCUCUGUCAUGCACCAGCUCACUGCAGACCUGGGACACAGGGAAUUGCACCAGAGGCUAUAAAGGACAUGGCGGUGUGUAACCCAGUGGCAAAGACAAGGAAUAGUGUCAGGACUGGUGUGAAGAGCACACUGUACAGAGCAUGUGGUGGGCCUCUUCCAGUUCCUCACGUCAUGGCCAGCGGGGAGAAACUGAAAGACGAACUUCCACAACUGGGGAUAUGCAAAUUGCUGCACGGACAUGAGUGCCUUGAUUUGGUGGACUCUACAUUUGGCCCUGUGCCUUUUGGGUCUGUGCUCGCUUACCAGUGCCUUCCUGAAAUACGUAGAGACAUAUGUAGAGACAUUAUUGAACACCCUGGUGACAUUAUUGAACACCCUGAGUUUCCUCAGUUGCCUGUUGACAGAUACAGAUUUAAAUUUCCUAUAGAUUUUGAGGCCAGCUAUAAGCAACAGUGCCACUUGGAGAGCCUAAAGGUGUCAUGAAAGAUCUCCGCUGCUAUUGAGGCAGAAACCCGACUGCAGUCAAAAUGCCAGCUGUGGACCCAGCUGUUCAAUCUGAAACAGUCAAUAUAUUCUACAUAGAAACAAGUCCAUAUUUAAGAAAAGGCGGCUGGAUAAAGGUAUUAUAUUUAUGAAGGAUGUGUUGAAGGGUGACUUGUCUCGGCAUAAGUACCAAGCGCAUGAAGAUCGGCCGCACCACACGCACCGAGGACAAGAUCCUGUCCGUCGAGAUCAAGCGCGGCUGGAAGGAGGGCACCAAGAUCACGUUCCCACGGGAGGGCAACGAGGGGGGGGGGGGGUUAAUAAAGGUUUACAGAUGUUGAGCGUCAAGUUAAUAGAUGUUUGUUAUGUCCAGAUGUUGAGUGUAAUGUUAAAUGUUUACAGAUGUUCAGGGUCAUUGAUAAUAGAUGAUUACAGAUGUUGAAAAUCAUGUUAAGAGAUGUUCAGUGUUAUGUUAAUAGAUGUUUACAGAUGUUGAGGAUCAGGUUAGUGGAUGUUUACAGAUGUUGAGGGCGGAUGAUGUUAAAAGAUGUUUAUAGAUGGCGUUUAUAAAUUUCAGGGUCUAAUAGCAGAUGUGUACAGAUGUUCAGGGUCCUGUUAAUGCGUGUUUAUCUGUUUAUGGAUGUUGAGGGUUAUAUUAACAGAUGUUUUCAGAUGUGGAGGAUUGUAUUAACACAUAUUUACAUAUCUGAUUACAGAUGUUGAGAGUUUAGGAAUGUUUACAGAUGACUUUUUUUUUUUAACAUGACGUUGAGGGUCACGGUGUUAAAUUUUUACAGAUGUCCAGUGUCAUGUUAACAGCUGUUGAGAGUCAUAUUUCUGCUUUCAGAUGUUGAGGGUUGUAUUAACAGAUGUUUACCCAUGUUGAAGUUUAUGAUUGCGUUUUUCAGCUGUUUACUGAUCGGUUCAGAUAUUGAGGAUUAUGUUAGCAGAUGUUUAUGUAUGUGUGCAGAUGUAAAUUGAUGUUUUGAGGUACAGUUAAAGUUGUUGAGUUGUUGAUUAUGUGCAUUUAGAAAUGUUAACAGAUGUUUACAGAAGCUGAGGAUAGUGACAGAUCAUCCUAUUAUGUUGAGAGUCGUUUAAACAGAUAUUUACAGAUGUUGACAGUUUUGGUGAAAAGGCCAAUUCUACACAGUAGGAGUCACCUCAUUAUCCUGCACCUCAGCACACAAUAAAUAUCAUCCUUCAUCGAUCUACAGUAUUAAAUAUAAUCACCGAUAUAUAGUAAGUAAGGAAUAAAACACUUGGGGAUGUGUUCUGACAGGAAAAUAAUCAACAACGGGGUGGUGUGAUGCGGCCUGACACAAAGCAGAGUUACUGUUACGACUCUG